GCCAGCGUGGUGUAGUGGUUUGAGCAUUGGACUAGGACUCUGGAGACCAAGGUUCGAAUCCUGGCUUUGCCC
rnacentral:tRNA from 1 species